rnacentral:rRNA from 1 species
GAUGAACGCUGGCGGCGUGCCUAAUACAUGCAAGUCGAGCGAACAGGCGAGGAGCUUGCUCCUCUGACGUUAGCGGCGGACGGGUGAGUAACACGUGGAUAACCUACCUAUAAGACUGGGAUAACUUCGGGAAACCGGAGCUAAUACCGGAUAAUAUAUUGAACCGCAUGGUUCAAUAGUGAAAGACGGUUUUGCUGUCACUUAUAGAUGGAUCCGCGCCGCAUUAGCUAGUUGGUAAGGUAACGGCUUACCAAGGCAACGAUGCGUAGCCGACCUGAGAGGGUGAUCGGCCACACUGGAACUGAGACACGGUCCAGACUCCUACGGGAGGCAGCAGUAGGGAAUCUUCCGCAAUGGGCGAAAGCCUGACGGAGCAACGCCGCGUGAGUGAUGAAGGUCUUCGGAUCGUAAAACUCUGUUAUUAGGGAAGAACUAAUGUGUAAGUAACUAUGCACGUCUUGACGGUACCUAAUCAGAAAGCCACGGCUAACUACGUG